UACGAAGGGGGCUAGCGUUGUUCGGAAUUACUGGGCGUAAAGGGCGCGUAGGCGGUCCUUCAAGUCAGGCGUGAAAGCCCCGGGCUCAACCUGGGAACCGCGCUUGAGACUGGCGGGCUAGAGUUCGGGAGAGGAUGGUGGAAUUCCCAGUGUAGAGGUGAAAUUCGUAGAUAUCUGGAGGAAUACCGGUGGCGAAGGCGGCAUCCUGGACCGACAUUGACGCUGAACGGCGAAAGCUAGGGGAGCAAACGGG
rnacentral:rRNA from 1 species